AUACAGAGGGUGCGAGCGUUAAUCGGAAUUACUGGGCGUAAAGCGCGCGUAGGCGGCUUAUUAAGUCAGAUGUGAAAUCCCCGGGCUCAACCUGGGAACUGCAUCUGAUACUGGUAAGCUAGGGUUUUGGAGAGGGAAGUAGAAUUUCAGGUGUAGCGGUGAAAUGCAUAGAGAUCUGAAGGAAUACCAGUGGCGAAGGCGACUUCCUGGCCAAAAACUGACGCUGAGGUGCGAAAGCGUGGGUAGCAAACGGGAUUAGAAACCCUAGUAGUCC
rnacentral:rRNA from 1 species